CUCGAAUACCCGCCUCAACCUAAAAGCUUGAGUCUGGUCAAACUCACAUUGUGGUUUGGUUCAAGUGUGUCCAGGAAUUUCUUGGACAUUUAAUUGGCCACAAGUGGGUGUGGAACAUGAAUAAAAUUAUACUCUACAUGAAUAUCAUUAUAGCUAACCGCCACGGCAGCAUGGAUUGUUACUAGUAGAAAGAAUUAGCCCCAGACAUGCAGAAGGCGACGUAGGAAAAUUCAUGGAGAGAGUUGUAAGGAUAUGAUACUAGAACUCUCCAGACUAGCAACAGGACCUUUGGAACACCUUGUCGAAAUUAACAGCCUAAAUGCUCAUUUAUGUGAAUGUGACCGUCGACCAUGGUUUCAUGGCCCUCUAGCUCUGUGCAAUGAUGGCUUCAAGCUCAGUGUUUUUCUCGUAGGCUUUCAACUCCUAGCCUUAAUUGAUACACUGUCUGAUAUAGCCCUCUGUGUAUGUUCUGUCCCUAACAUGCGGGGGCUUGUGGGUUUAUCACUAUGCUUGUGGGCGUGUAGUCCACUUGACUUUGCUGACUGUGCAGAACAAAGUUCAUAUGUGAGUUGGACCAGACUCAAGCUUUUAGGUUGAGGCGGGUAUUCGAGACUAGCUUUGUGUCCAGUCCUAUAAUUUGUAGACCACAGUGACAUAACCAGGACCAUGGAGAGAGACCAUUGCUGAGGAGGUGGGAAUGGCAAGUUCCUGGCCAAUCAGAUGAUCCUACAUGACGAAGCUGCUCAUAAAGAUGCAAGUCUGAUUACAAACUCAGGAUGAUGAGGCUAUGUUCAAGCUGAACCCCAAUGCAAAGACGUCAAGUUCAACCUGAAUGCCCAAGAGUUCAAACCUCCGAGAGCAAGCUUCUCUCCAGUGGUCACUGCCUCCUCCACACCUCUCCGAGACAAGGCGACUAUAGAGUCCUCAGCCUCUACCCUACAGGAGCAAAAUAAUUCCGUUUUUGCUUGUUUCACCAAACUGGAGGUAAAAGUUUAUGUAAGGACUUUGAGAAGGAGCGGAAAAAUGAGUACAAAGAGAAGCACCUCUCGCUAUUAGGAUGAGUGCUGACUCGGCUCUGUUUAAGUCCAAGAGCAAGAAAUCAAAGUGGCUCGACUA